GGUUUUUGAGUUAAAAUUCUUAAAUGUUUUUAUGGGACGAGAAGACCCUAUAGAGUUUAACAAUUUUCUUAUUUGUUCGUUGUUUGUUUUAUUUACAUUAAGUGGGAAUAGAUUGUUUUGUUGGGGUGAUGGGAGGAAUAGUAUUUAACUCCUCUUUGUUUUGUAUAUAUUUAUUUAUAUAAGUUUGAUCCAUUUAUUUUGAUUAUAAGAUUAAAUUACCUUAGGGAUAACAGCGUUAUCUUCCUUGAGAGUUCUUAUUGGCGGGGAGGUUUGCGACCUCGAUGUUGGAUUAAGGUGAAUUUUCGGUGCAGGAGCUGGAAAUGAUUAGGUCUGUUCGACCUUUAAAAUCUUACAUGAUCUGAGUUCAGACCGGCGUGAGCCAGGUUGGUUUCUAUCUAUAGAGUUAUUUUAUAUCUUAGUACGAGAGGACCGGGUAUUUGGAAUAAGUUUCAGUUGUUACAUUGGUUUUUGUUAAUGUAUACUAUUUUGGCAGAUAAGUGCAUUGGAUUUAGAAUCUAUUAA
rnacentral:rRNA from 1 species